rnacentral:rRNA from 1 species
CCUACGGGGGGCAGCAGUAGGGAAUAUUGCUCAAUGGGGGAAACCCUGAAGCAGCAACGCCGCGUGGAGGAUGAAGGUUUUCGGAUUGUAAACUCCUUUUGUUAGAGAAGAUAAUGACGGUAUCUAACGAAUAAGCACUGGCUAACUCCGUGCCAGCAGCCGCGGUAAUACGGAGGAUGCAAGCGUUACUCGGAAUCACUGGGCGUAAAGAGGGCGUAGGCGGGAUAGCAAGUCAGAUGUGAAAUCCUAUGGCUUAACCAUAGAACUGCAUUUGAAACUGUUAUUCUAGAGUAUGGGAGAGGUAGGUGGAAGUCGUGGUGUAGGGGUAAAAUCCGUAGAGAUCAAGAGGAAUACUCAUUGCGAAGGCGACCUGCUAGAACAUAACUGACGCUGAUGCGCGAAAGCGUGGGGAGCAAACAGGAUUAGAUACCCCGGUAGUC